ACGGGCCGCACAAGCGGUGGAGCAUGUGGUUUAAUUCGACGCAACGCGAAGAACCUUUACCAGGGAUUGACAUCCCCUGACCGGAUAUGAAAGUAUCCUUUAUCCUUCGGGAUACAGGGAGACAGGUGGUGCAUGGUUGUCGUCAGCUCGUGUCGUGAGAUGUUGGGUUAAGUCCCGCAACGAGCGCAACCCCUACGUUUAGUUGCUAACAGGUAGCGCUGAGCACUCUGAAUGGACUGCCGUUGACAAAACGGAGGAAGGUGGGGAUGACGUCAAAUCAUCAUGCCCCUUAUACCCUGGGCUACACACGUGCUACAAUGGUCCGUACAGAGGGCAGCGACACGGUGACGUGAAGCGAAUCCCUUAAAGCGGAUCUCAGUUCGGAUUGCAGGCUGCAACUCGCCUGCAUGAAGUCGGAAUCGCUAGUAAUCGCAGGUCAGCAUACUGCGGUGAAUACGUUCCCGGGCCUU
rnacentral:rRNA from 1 species